rnacentral:misc_RNA from 1 species
GAUGAAGAACGCAGUGAAAUGCGAUAAGUAGUGUGAAUUGCAGAAUUCAGUGAAUCAUCGAAUCUUUGAACGCACAUUGCGCCCGCCAGUAUUCUGGCGGGCAUGCCUGUCCGAGCGUCAUUUCAACCAUCAAGCCCCGGGCUUGUGUUGGGGACCUGCGUCCGACGCAGGCCCUGAAAACCAGUGGCGGGCUCGCUGUCCACACCGAGCGUAGUAACUAACCUCGCUAUGGAGUGGCGCGGGCGCCUGCCGUAAAACCCCCAAUUUCACAAGGUUGACCUCGGAUCAGGUAGGAAUACCCGCUGAACUUAAGCAUAUCAAUAAGCGGAGGA